AAAAUGAAUCUGUAAUCAAAGAGCGAGAAGACCUAAAAUCUCUCUAUGAUUCUCUGAUCAAAGAUCAUGAAAAGCUGGAACUUCUUCAUGAACGUCAGGCUUCAGAGUAUGAAUCUCUUAUCUCUAAACAUGGAACUCUGAAGUCUGCCCACAAAAAUCUUGAGGUGGAACAUAGAGACCUUGAAGACCGGCUGAAUCAUACCUAUAGUCAACUUUUAAAAGAGACUGAAGUUUUACAAACUGACCAUAAAAAUUUGAAAAGUCUUCUGAAUAAUUCCAAACUGGAACAAACAAGAUUAGAAGCUGAAUUUUCAAAACUAAAGGAACAAUACCAACAAUUGGAUAUUACAUCAACCAAGCUGAAUAACCAGUGUGAGUUGCUAAGCCAACUUAAAGGAAAUUUAGAAGAAGAAAAUCGGCAUCUACUAGAUCAAAUUCAGACAUUAAUGCUACAGAACAGAACACUUUUGGAGCAGAAUAUGGAAAGCAAGGAUCUUUUUCAUGUUGAACAAAGACAGUACAUUGAUAAGUUAAAUGAAUU
rnacentral:lncRNA from 1 species